GAAUUUGCCCUGACAGACACAGAGCCUGGGGCUGGAGAUUUUCUGAGAUGCCUCAGGCUCCUUCCCACAAAUUUCGCAUCAGCUUGAGCUCAGUGGGAGUAGAAUCUGCCACCGACAAACUCCUAAGAUGGCUUUGUUCAUUCCCACCUUCAUCAUAAAUCAGGUUGGGGUGGAGAAGCAAUAUCCCUAAGGGAAAAAUAAAAGUCUCCAAGCUAGGACUUUCAGCCUGGGGCCUGACAUUGCACAGAAAAUGGCCACUGCAGUCUCACAGGAACGCAGCCAGUCAAUGGUUUUCCUGAAACAAACUCUCAUCAUCUGAGAGAACCUGCAUGCACCUCUGCUCCCUGCACCCCAGAGGGAACCAGCAGUGUGCCCUGGGAAAAGCUGGGGCCCCACAGGUCCCAGUCUCUGAACAGGGUCUCGUAUAAAGAAGCACCGUCCAGCAACUAUUGCAGCAUUCACUGGCAUCUCGAAGACAGUAUCAACGAGUAUCUACAUCACAACCCGUAACCUCGCUCCUCAAGUUCCCUGUCCUCCCCUCCCAACCCCUGUACCCACAGCUGAUCGUGAGCCUCACACCCACCCACCUCCAGCAGUGCCAGAUUCACUCCUUACUUCCCCACUCUCUUCAUAUGGAGAGUGACAGCUUCCCUAGGUCGUAGAAGAAAACAACAUGGACCACUUGCCAGCGUCUCUUUGAACAGAGAAGCUACUGCUGUCUAAGGAGCCACCAUCCCCAAUCCCAGGCACAGGGCUUGAGGGAAACUUAUUUUCUGCCCCCACCUUCCUUAAAGGUGGAACUCAUGACUGAGACCUGAGCCUAUCAGCCGGUCACGUGAUCCUGGCCCAGGGCUAUUGGCUGUGGGAAGUGGAUGCUGCCCGCCCUGUUGUCCUGUGGGAGCUUGAGGGGAUGUACAUCUGGCAUUGCUGGCAGGCAUUUUGUUCCCAUGAGGGAAGAGUCUGGGAGAGAAGCAACCUGGUGGAGAGUGGGCCUAAGACACGGAGAGAGGAUGUUGAUGCCGUGAGUUCCCAAUCCCGCCGCGCCCGUCAGACUUACCCUCAGCUUUCCAGUCUCAGGAGCCAACACUCUUUCCUUCAGCCAGAUCAAGGUCCUUGUCACUUACAGCCAACACCACAACUGAUACAAAAGGGAAGGACACAAAACAAUUGUGGAGAAAGCCGUCUGGAUGGAGCCAGCAGCUUCGCUACCAUCGAGUGGCAUUUCCAGAGAGCAGAUGCACGCGGAGGGGUGUAGUUUGAAGGAAGACCUGGCGGGAUUUGCUAAUGAAUUGGAUAGCAGCGUAGUGAAAGAGACCCUCAGGAAUGACUUCCGGUUUUUAGGCUAAGGAAUUGCAAGAAUGGAACCAUGAACGGAGAUGUUGGUUUAGACCAGUCGCCCUCUGGACCAAGCUGCUGUGAGCAUGGAUUUAACAAAAUGUCAGCCCCACUGGGUAUGAUUUUCAAGUAUGAAUUCAAAACCUAUGGUGAGUUUCUACCAGUUUAAUCAAAAGUCCUUUUAUUUUGUUCUGGGUAAACACAGCUACGUCUGGGGUUUGCAUGCAAAGCAGUGGCUUUGACUUUCUUUUCGUUUUUUUGUAAAGCAGUAUUCAUCCAGUUAUGAGAAAACCACUUUUGCUUAUUGACCUUCUAAAAUGUCGGCAUUGUAAAUCAAAUCACUUGCAAAAAAUCCUCCAAAACAUAAUUUUUCAAAGCUUUCAUCCCUAAAGAAGUCAAUGUAUAAGGAAUAAGUGGUGAACGAGCCAGGGUCCUCUUCUCCUCUCUAGAGGAGGUAAAACGUCCUGGGCUGGGAGAGAGAGGAAGAGAAGCCAGAGGUUGGAUGGUGGGCAGCUUUUGAGAAGGGGUUUCAUGUUCUGCCCUUCCUGGGUCAGUUUCAUGGAAGGUCCCCAAUGCACGAACAAAUCAGAGAGGCCUGGAGCGGUAGGAGCUCAAGGGCAGAGCCAUGAGCUGCGUUCCGGCGACAGAGGAGACAUGGCUGGUUCGCGUCGUGUCUGCAUCUGAGCAGAGAGCUUGCCUCUGCUUUGUGAGUUUCUCCAGCCCUGAGUGGGGAGUGGAGCAGCCUCUUCCCCUACCCCACCCCUGUGUCCAGGGAUGCUCAGAAGUCCCCGAAGUAAAGGCAGACUUGGAGACACCUGGAGCCUGGGAAUGCGGGAGGGGAUGGACUGGAUGAUGUCUUUGUGAAUCUCUCAAGGAUGGGCAGGAUGUGGUCCAUCUCAGUGGAUAGUGGCCUGCAGCGCAGGUGACUGGCAGACAGGUGUGUCCCCAGUCUCCACUGCUGCAGCCGGCAAGGCCCUCUGGAAACCUUGCUGCAACCUCUGAUGGGAACAGCCCCGGUGGAUGGGAAGCUGCUGUCUGGAUGAAGAGUGAUUCAAGGAAGCUAUGGAUGGAGUUAGGGAAAUACAGCAUUGCAUUUCAUUCUGGGUCUGAUGCGUGUGCCUGACUCAGGGUGGGGCUUCUCUGGGACUGUUAAGAAGUGUGUAUGAGUUCUCUAUGAGAAUUUAAAUGUGCAUAUAUUUGGGUCCCUCCAAAAUUCCUAGGUUGAAGUCCUCACCCCUACUGUGAUGGAAUCAGGAAGAGAAGCCUUUGGGAGGUGAUUAGGUCAUGGAGGGUGGGGCUCUCAUAGAUGGGAUGAGUGCCGUUAUAUAAAGCCAGAGCAAAGAGAGCUCCCUUGUUCCUGCGUCUGUGGGAGGACGGCGCCACCCAAGAACCAGGAGGGACACACUCAGCAGACACCCAAUCUGCUGGUGCCUUAAUCCUGGACUUCCCAACCUCCGGAAUGAUGAGCAAUAAAGUUCUGUUGUUUGUAAGCCAUCCAGUCUGUGGUGUUCGGUUAUAGCAUCCUGAACAGACUAAGACAAUGUUUUGUAAGAGCCCAUUUGGGUUUCCUGGGUGGCCCACAGGAGCUAUGCAGGGGUUCUGGGGUCUGUGCCUUUGGGACUAGAUGACGCAGCUGUCAGAGCCUGUGGCUUGGCUUGGUCAGCGCCUGCCCUUCCCUCCAGUCUCCUCCAUCUUGGCUCCCACCCCUCCUGCCCCCACUGCUCCCCCAGCUCCAGAUUCUUCACCUUAUGAUGUUCCAUAAAGGAAUGCAGCUCUCCCCAGCUCAAGUCCCACAGCCUCUCACCUGAACUCCUGAAGGUGCUCAGCAGAACCCAGAGCCCUCCAUCUGGCAGGAUGAGUCCUCACUCUAGGAACCAUGGGAACCACAGACUCCACCUGAGGCAGCAGCUGCUGCGCACAGAGCAG
rnacentral:lncRNA from 1 species